AAGUAAAAUCGGGAUAUUUCGUAUUCUCGCGUAUGUUACGAAUCAUCAUUACGUUCCAUCACAUUAACACUACACAGGAAUCGGAUUGUCUCCCUUAAACCAAACUGAGAAUGCAAUGCUGCUCAUCUAAGCAUGGUUGCUUAUGAAAUUAAAAAAGACGUACAGUAAUUAUUUCAUUUGCGUGACAUUUAACUUUACAACUGAUGUAGUGAAUAUACAAAUUAAUACAGUUUGGUGAAUGGACAUUGUUUAAACACUUGUAAAACCAAAACACAGUUGUACAUUCAGGAAGAGAUUAAUACUUAUAUAAUGUCUAACUUUCUUUUUCAUAAUACAGGCUUCUGAGGCAUGAAACUACUAGGUCGCAUUACAUUAAACAUAAUUUUCAUAACUUAGAGUUUAAAAAAAAUCACUCGUGGAAUAUUUUGAUUCGAGCAUCAAGGAUGGAAUAUUACGUUAUCAUUUUGAUAUACACGUGGGUUUUUCCAGUGCCGCUUAUUUCAGGUUAUUUAUAUUGUACUUGGGGAUCAUGUUCGGUGACAUGUGGAGCUGGUACACAAAGAGAAAGAUGCUAUAACGAUGGAGGAGGGUAUUAUUAUAGAGGCACUCGUACGUGUAGCAAGGCUUGUUCAAAUGGUGCUUCCUACAGUUCAAUGACAGGAAAAUGUCUGUGUCCUAAAUGGAGAUCAGGCAUCUGUUGCCAAGGUUGUCGGCAUAUAGAUAUUGCACAUUGUGUGUCCGGACAUCAGCAGUGUGGUGGAUCACCUGAUGGUAUAAGAUGUACAAAAUGCAAUGAUCCGUAUUACUCUGGUGGAUACAAUAGGGGUUGCAAAGCCUGUCCUGGUAUUUCAAACUGCAAUCAAAGAUACUGUACAUCAUCUUCAAACACCAGAUGUCGGCUUUGUAACUACGAUCAUAAACUGUAUAAAAGGACACAUUCAAGUACAAAGUGUGAACGGAUGUGCGCUUGGAACAACCACUUCUGUUGGCCUGGACGGUGUACUGAUCAACUCACUACUACAUGUACCUGUGCCGCCGGCUUCAGAAAGGUAGCGACAUCCGGCGAGACAAGCUGCCAGCCAAUAAAAGCACCGUCUAUAGUGUCAUGUCAUACUCGUCUAGUAGGGCAGAAUGGGGCAGAUAAGAAGACUAAAGGAUACGGAGAUGUUCAAGCGUGUAGUCAUUUAAAAGACAUGUAUGGAAACUUUCAGCCUGCGUUCUUUCAGUUUGUGAUGUGGACGACAUACAACGUCAGUGCCACAAAUUACCCGAUGCCGAGUUACAUAGCUGAAUACAAACUGGGCGUGGCAGAUACAACUGUACAUGUUAAAAAGAAUUUUGUCAAUGGAUCAGUUCUAAUAUUAGGAAGUCAUCCACAGUUGGCUACUUCGGCAUCAAGUGAGGAUGUGACGGUAGAACAACGUGAUAGUGCAAGCAUCUCUGUAUCGUCAGAAAGGCACAGCCUUCAAUACGGAGACUCGCUUUGCCUUGAAUUCGAAGCAUAUGCUGGAGGAUAUCUUAAAAGUAAAAAUCUUAUAUCACAAACUGUAAAUAAUGCUGUUCCAUAUCAGAAAGUAAGAUCGGCAAACACAAUCUGCUAUAUAUACGACAAUAUUUCACCAAGACACUGCAGAGAAGAGGGGACAUGUCACACAGAACCUCUAAAGAUUGAAAGACCAGUCACACGUUCUCCAUUUAACAAGGUUAUAUUCACUGGCUGGAAGGAUCCCAAUCCAACAGAUGGAUCAACCACACGUGUAUCAGGCAUAGAGAGAUAUACGGUUUAUGUUAACGAAGUAAUAUCAACUAAAGGACAUUUGAGGGUUGACUAUUCAACAAUGUAUAUAAAAACACUAAAAAGCACGGAUACUGAUGCCGCUAUAUAUCUAAAGCCUGACAAACCAACUUUGUAUUUAGUAAAACUUGAAGUAAAAGAUUUUGCUGAUAAUGUCCAACAGGCAAGAAGGUUCUUGCUCUAUGACGAUGUAUCCUUCAUAGAAGCAAGGGAAGAAGUUCCUUUGAUAGUUAAUACAGCAUCAAGACUUUCUAACUAUAGCUGGCAGACACAUCAAACUAUUUGCCUCUCAUGGAAAGACCAUUUUCUCAACAGGUUUUAUGUAGGUAAUGAGUUACUAAGUCCGAUAGAGUCUGACCAAGAUGGACUUUUCUCUGGCGUUUAUGAACAGACCACAGGUUUAUUGUCAAUAUAUGGUACGCCAAAUGUUUAUGGAAUAAUAAAGUUUUUGAUGUCAGUGUAUAUCAACGGUAAACAACACCUUUCAGCAAUUGAAACUCCAGAUCUUCAAAGCCAGUCCUACUGUAGAAAGUUAAGUGUAAAAGAUGGUGACGAAUGUACUUUUAUGAUUCAACCAGUUGACAUAGCUGGCAACACAUAUAGAGAAAACGUAACCGUUUUUAUAGACCAGUCUGAACCGGAAAUUGAAUUUAGAAAUUUCUCUUAUAAAAUUGACAGACAUCGAACGAUAGAACUGCCUUCUUCUUUUCAUAAGAUAGAUUUCGAAGCACGAGAUCCUCAUAGCGGUGUACGCAAUAUUGUAUGGAUAUUUGGAAUAGCAAAUUCAAGCACAGAAAUAUCAACAGGUGAUAUGAGCGUUAACAGCUUCAGUAACUUUCACUCUUGUCAGAAUCGGACGCCAAGCUGUUACUGCCCAGCAAGUGGAUCGUGUGAAUUAUACGAAUACACACUACCAGAAAACAAAAUGAAUUUAUGUGAUGAUCGUGUGAAAAAAGCUUCUACAAGGAACUUUUAUAUGACAAUCACUGUUACAAACAACGCCUUUCUUAACUAUACAAUGUAUGUUGACGUCUUGAUUAACGAGGCAGGUGUAAAACAGUUAUGCAAAACAAACGAUUUACCUCUUUACGCCGGUCUGUCAAGUGGAAUAUCAGUAUUUCUGGUCGUUUUUCUUGCAUUUCUUGUCGUUUUCAUAGUACGAAGGAGAAGACGGAAUCGGGGCACGGCCAAGAAUAUCGAGCUGAAGAAAAGCCGCAAAGGAGAAAAAAAUUGAAAGUUAUCAAGAGCUGGAUGCCAAAGCCCUCUGUAGUGGCGACUCCUAUGACGUCAUAACAGAUCAGCCUUCAGAGGAUCGCAGAACACAAACCCUAAGGAGUACACAGGAGGAUGAGUCCCGAGGAAAAAGCAA
rnacentral:misc_RNA from 1 species